AGAGUUUGAUCCUGGCUCAGGAUGAACGCUAGCGACAGGCUUAACACAUGCAAGUCGAGGGGCAGCGGUGGUGAAGGCUUGCCUUUACCAGCCGGCGACCGGCGCACGGGUGAGUAACACGUAUGCAACCUGCCUGCCACAGCCGGAUAAUCGGGAGAAAUUCCGUCUAAUACGGCAUAAUGCAUCGACGGGACAUCCUGUUGGUGCCAAAGGUUGAUUCCGGUGGCGGAUGGGCAUGCGUCGCAUUAGUUAGUUGGCGGUGUAACGGACCACCAAGACGACGAUGCGUAGGGGUUCUGAGAGGAAGGUCCCCCACACUGGUACUGAGACACGGACCAGACUCCUACGGGAGGCAGCAGUGAGGAAUAUUGGUCAAUGGGCGGGAGCCUGAACCAGCCAAGUCGCGUGAGGGAUGACGGCCCUAUGGGUUGUAAACCUCUUUUGCCGGGGAGCAAAGUGCCGCACGUGUGCGGUUUGGAGAGUACCCGGAGAAAAAGCAUCGGCUAACUCCGUGCCAGCAGCCGCGGUAAUACGGAGGAUGCGAGCGUUAUCCGGAUUUAUUGGGUUUAAAGGGUGCGUAGGCGGACGCUUAAGUCAGCGGUAAAAUUGCGGGGCUCAACCUCGUCGAGCCGUUGAAACUGGGUGCCUUGAGUGGGCGAGAAGUACGCGGAAUGCGUGGUGUAGCGGUGAAAUGCAUAGAUAUCACGCAGAACUCCGAUUGCGAAGGCAGCGUACCGGCGCCCAACUGACGCUGAAGCACGAAGGCGUGGGUAUCGAACAGGAUUAGAUACCCUGGUAGUCCACGCAGUAAACGAUGAAUGCUAGUUGUCCGGGGCGAUUGAGUUCUGGGUGACACAGCGAAAGCGUUAAGCAUUCCACCUGGGGAGUACGCCGGCAACGGUGAAACUCAAAGGAAUUGACGGGGGCCCGCACAAGCGGAGGAACAUGUGGUUUAAUUCGAUGAUACGCGAGGAACCUUACCCGGGCUCAAACGCAGGAGGGAUGUUUUUGAAAGGAGGCAGCCAGCAAUGGUCUCCUGCGAGGUGCUGCAUGGUUGUCGUCAGCUCGUGCCGUGAGGUGUCGGCUUAAGUGCCAUAACGAGCGCAACCCCUACCUACAGUUGCCAUCGCGUGAUGGCGGGCACUCUGUGGGGACUGCCUGCGCAAGCAGUGAGGAAGGCGGGGAUGACGUCAAAUCAGCACGGCCCUUACGUCCGGGGCGACACACGUGUUACAAUGGCAGGUACAGCGGGAAGCCACCCGGCGACGGGGCGCGGAACCCGAAAACCUGUCUCAGUUCGGAUUGGAGUCUGCAACCCGACUCCAUGAAGCUGGAUUCGCUAGUAAUCGCGCAUCAGCCACGGCGCGGUGAAUACGUUCCCGGGCCUUGCACUCACCGCCCGUCA
rnacentral:rRNA from 1 species